AGACGAUUAGUCCAAAGAAAGAUCACUGAUUUCGGCUCAGUAGACCGUGGUUCAAGUCCACGACCGUCUU
rnacentral:tRNA from 1 species